UACGUAGGGUGCAAGCGUUGUCCGGAUUCAUUGGGCGUAAAGCGCGCGUAGGUGGCCAUGUAAGUCCGCUGUGAAAGUCAAAGGCUCAACCUUUGAAAGCCGGUGGAUACUGCAUGGCUAGAGUACGGAAGAGGCGAGUGGAAUUCCUGGUGUAGCGGUGGAAUGCGCAGAUAUCAGGAGGAACACCAAUAGCGAAGGCAGCUCGCUGGGACGUUACUGACACUGAGGCGCGAAAGCGUGGGGAGCGAACAGG
rnacentral:rRNA from 1 species